rnacentral:rRNA from 1 species
UAGGGAAUAUUAGAAAUGGACGAAAGUCUGAUCUAGCAACACCGCGUGUGCGAAGAAGGCCUUCGGGUCGUAAAGCACUUUUUGGAAGGAAUAGGAAGGAAUGUACUUCCAGAAUAAGUCUCGGCUAACUACGUGCCAGCAGCCGCGGUAACACGUAGGAGGCAAACGUUAUCCGGAUUUACUGGGCGUAAAGCGCGUGUAGGUGGUACUGUAAGUAGGGCGUGAAAGCUCCUGGCUCAACUGGGAGAGGCCGUUCUAAACUACAGAACUAGAGGAUGGUAGAGGGAGGUGGAAUUCCAGGUGUAGCGGUGGAAUGCGCAGAUAUCUGGAGGAACACCGGUGGCGAAGGCGGCCUCCUGGACCAUUCCUGACACUCAGACGCGAAAGCUAGGG